UGAAAAUACCAUAUAAAGAUAAAAAUAACCCCGUUAUGGAGAUUGAAUCAUGGAAAUAAUAAUCAGCAGCUUCCGCAAUGACUAAUUUGACAAAGGAUUUUACACAGAUACAAGUUUGAAGUUUAACUGUACCUGUAGAUAUCUUAUAUAAAAAAGAAGAUGUGGUAUGAUUGCCAAUGAGACAACUAUCCACGAAAGACCAAAAUGACACAGACAUUAACAACUAUAGGUCACCGUACGUCCUUCAACAAUGAGCAAAGCCCAUACCGCAUAGUGAGCUAUAAAAGGCCCCGACAAUGUAAAACAAUUCAAACGAGAAAACUAACGGCCUUAUUUAUGUAAAAAAAUGAACGAAAAACAAAUAUGUAACACAUAAACAAACGACAACCACUGAAUUACAGGCUCCUGACUUGGGACAGGCA
rnacentral:lncRNA from 1 species